rnacentral:rRNA from 1 species
CCUACGGGAGGCAGCAGUGAGGAAUAUUGGUCAAUGGACGAGAGUCUGAACCAGCCAAGUAGCGUGAAGGAUGACUGCCCUAUGGGUUGUAAACUUCUUUUAUAAAGGAAUAAAACGCGGCACGUGUGCCUUUUUGCAUGUACUUUAUGAAUAAGGAUCGGCUAACUCCGUGCCAGCAGCCGCGGUAAUACGGAGGAUCCGAGCGUUAUCCGGAUUUAUUGGGUUUAAAGGGAGCGUAGAUGGGUUGUUAAGUCAGUUGUGAAAGUUUGCGGCUCAACCGUAAAAUUGCAAUUGAUACUGGCAGGCUGGAGUACAGUUGAGGUAGGCGGAAUUCGUGGUGUAGCGGUGAAAUGCUUAGAUAUCACGAAGAAUUCCGAUUGCGAAGGCAGCUUACUAAACUGCAACUGACAUUGAUGCUCGAAAGUGUGGGUAUCAAACAGGAUUAGAUACCCCUGUAGUC